ACUGGGCUGCAAAAUGACCAAGAGGGGUAAAAGCGGAGGGGGGCGCACCUGAAACGCCAUGUGUUGCUGUUGAGCCCUUUGGAGGUGAUGUGGGCUUAUCAACGAAACACAAAGGAAGGAAGGUGCCCACCUGAUGACCCCAAUGAAUAAAUUCUGCCAGUGCAACCAUACAAAAUACACUUAUGUUCAAGAUUUUCUAUAAACAAGCCUUGACAUCUCACAUCGUUUUGCUUAUCAGUAUCUUUCUGCAGGAUUCAUCAGAACGGAGCGGGAUCAGAUCUUUAGAAGUGCUAUCAACUGUAAUGUAUGCCUUCUGCACUGACAGCCAGGUUUGACACUGUGUGAAAUAGUAACAUGCAGUAACUCAG